AAUGGCCUGACGGCUGAACCAGCAACUUGGAGGAAUGUAUAGCGAUAGCUAAUUGUAUCAAUUACAAUAUCGACUCUGUCGAAUAAAAUUCUGAGUAGAACUAUGAUGAUGACAUUAUCUACUUACAUGUCUUGACCAAAUUACGUGCCAGCAGUCGCGGUAAUACGUAGAAGACUAGUGUUAUUCAUCCUUAAUAGGUUUAAAGGGUACCUAGACGGCAAGUUAAGCCUUUAGGGACUGGCUUGCUAGAGUUACUUAUGAGGGGGCAUUAAUGUACUAAAGGUGUAGAGAUGAAAUUCUGUCAUACCUUUUUUCGAAAGAAAGUAAUGGCACAGGUAUAGGCGAAGGCAUCUCCUUAUGUGAUAUAGAUACCCUGGUAGUCGAAGCAGAAAAUGAUGAGUGUCAUAGAUUAGUUUAUUCUAUAAAUGAAAGUGUAAGCACUCCACCUCAAGAGUAAUUUGGCAACAUUGGAACUGAAAUCAUUAGACCGUUUCUGAAACCAGUAGUGAAGUAUGUUGUUUAAUUUGAUAAUCCGCAAAAAACCUUACCAUGAAUAUUUACAAGCGUUGCACGGCUGUCUUCAGUUAAUGUCGUGAGACUAUGGUUAGCUCCAUUAAAUUAACGUAAACCCUUACUUCAUUUUCAUAUGAAAUAGUUCUCCGCUAUAUUGGAUAAGAUAACAGGGACUAAGACAAGUCAUCAUGGCCUGAAUGUUGUGAGCCUUUACAAAAGGAUGUGAAAUUGCGAAAUUGAGCUAAUCCCCUAAAACUGGCUAUACAU
rnacentral:rRNA from 1 species